rnacentral:lncRNA from 1 species
UACACUGUGUAAAAACUUGGUGUCACACCAGGAAACUCCAGCAACACUCUACAAAUUUUGGGAGGAAAUUGGGAGAAACUUGGAGUAAUUCCUCCCUAAAACUCUUUAAUUGUUUAUUACCUUGGUGUGGUUUCUCCCAACACCAUGAUUUUUAUUGCUAUGUUUACCUUUGAAGUGUGCCACUAGACUAACUAGUUGUUGACUACAAUAAACAUUUCUUAUGUUUCCUGUCAUUAA